AAUAAGCUAAAUAAGAGCGUAUGGGGAAUGCCUAGGCUCUCAGAGGCGAUGAAGGACGUGAUAAGCUGCGAAAAGCUGCGGGGAUUGGCACAUACAAAUUGAUCCGUAGAUAUCCGAAUGGGGCAACCCACUAUAUUGAAGAUAUAGUAUGUCGUAAGACAAGCAAACCUAGAGAACUGAAACAUCUAAGUACCUGGAGGAGAAGAAAACAAAAGUGAUUCCCGUUAGUAGUGGCGAGCGAACGCGGAUUAGCCCAAACCAGUAUUGUUACGGCAAUAUUGGGGUUGUAGGACCAAGACAUUUAAUGUUUAAUGAAUUAGAAUACUUUGGAAAAAGUAACCAUAGAGGGUGAUAGUCCCGUAUAGGUAAGUUGAAUUAUUAAUAUUGGUAUCCUGAGUAGCGCGGGGCACGUGU
rnacentral:rRNA from 1 species